rnacentral:rRNA from 1 species
UCCGUAGGCGGAUAAUUAAGUCAGAGGUGAAAUCCUGCAGCUCAACUGUAGAAUUGCCUUUGAUACUGGUUAUCUUGAGUCAUUAUGAAGUGGUUAGAAUGUGUAGUGUAGCGGUGAAAUGCAUAGAUAUUACACAGAAUACCGAUUGCGAAGGCAGAUCACUAAUAAUGUACUGACACUGAUGGACGAAAGCGUGGGGAGCGAACAGGAUUAGAUACCCUGGUAGUC